rnacentral:misc_RNA from 1 species
GAUGAAGAACGCAGCGAAAUGCGAUACUUGGUGUGAAUUGCAGAAUCCCGCGAAUCAUCGAGUUUUUGAACGCAAGUUGCGCCCGAAGCCAUUCGGCCGAGGGCACGUCUGCCUGGGUGUCACGCAUCGUUGCCCCCCCAAACUCCGGUUCGGGCGGGGCGGAAGUUGGCCUCCCGUGCGUGCCGGCGCGCGCGGUUAGCCCAAAAGCGAGUCCUCGGCGAUGAGCGCCACGACAAUCGGUGGUUUUUUUACCCUCGUUCCUCGUCGUGCGUGCCCCGUCGCCCGAACGCGCUCUUGCAACCCUUACGCGUCGCCUCGGUGGCGCUCCCAACGCGACCCCAGGUCAGGCGGGACUACCCGCUGAGUUUAAGCAUAUCAAUAAGCGGAGGA